GGAGAGAUGGCAGAGCCGGCUAUGCGCACGACUGCAGAUCGUGUCCACGGGAGUUCGAAUCUCCCUCUCUCCA
rnacentral:tRNA from 1 species